GACUAACGCUGGCGGCGUGCCUAAUACAUGCAAGUCGAACGGGAUUCUUUGAUCAGCUUGCUGAGAGAAGGAUCUAGUGGCGGACGGGUGAGUAACGCGUGGGAAUCUGCCUCUUACUGGGGGAUAACAGUGGGAAACUACUGCUAAUACCGCAUAAGAUCUUCGGAUGAAAGGUGCAACUGCACCGGUAAGAGAUGAGCCCGCGUCCCAUUAGCUAGUUGGUGAGGUAAAGGCUCACCAAGGCGACGAUGGGUAGCCGGCCUGAGAGGGUGAACGGCCACACUGGGACUGAGACACGGCCCAGACUCCUACGGGAGGCAGCAGUAGGGAAUCUUCCGCAAUGGGCGCAAGCCUGACGGAGCGACGCCGCGUGAGUGAUGAAGGCCUUCAGGUCGUAAAGCUCUGUUCUUGAGGACGAAUAAGCCAGGGAGUGGAAAGCCCUGGUGAUGACUGUACUCAAGGAGAAAGCUCCGGCUAACUACGUGCC
rnacentral:rRNA from 1 species